rnacentral:rRNA from 1 species
AUACAGGGGGUGCGAGCGUUAAUCGGAAUUACUGGGCGUAAAGAGUACGUAGGCGGUUGCUUAAGUCAGAUGUGAAAGCCCCGGGCUCAACAUGGGAACUGCAUUUGAAACUGAGUGACUAGAGUUUAAGAGAGGGGAGUAGAAUUCCGGGUGUAGCGGUGAAAUGCGUAGAGAUCCGGAGGGAUACCAGUGGAGAAGGCGGCUCCCUGGCUUAAAACUGACGCUGAGGUACGAAAGCGUGGGUAGCAAACAGGAUUAGAAACCCCAGUAGUCC